rnacentral:rRNA from 1 species
GGGUUGUGAGGUUAAGCGACUAAGCGUACACGGUGGAUGCCCUGGCAGUCAGAGGCGAUGAAGGACGUGCUAAUCUGCGAUAAGCGUCGGUAAGGUGAUAUGAACCGUUAUAACCGGCGAUUUCCGAAUGGGGAAACCCAGUGUGAUUCGUCACACUAUCAUUAACUGAAUCCAUAGGUUAAUGAGGCGAACCGGGGGAACUGAAACAUCUAAGUACCCCGAGGAAAAGAAAUCAACCGAGAUUCCCCCAGUAGCGGCGAGCGAACGGGGAGGAGCCCAGAGCCUGAAUCAGUGUGUGUGUUAGUGGAAGCGUCUGGAAAGGCGCGCGAUACAGGGUGACAGCCCCGUACACAAAAAUGCACAUACUGUGAGCUCGAUGAGUAGGGCGGGACACGUGGUAUCCUGUCUGAAUAUGGGGGGACCAUCCUCCAAGGCUAAAUACUCCUGACUGACCGAUAGUGAACCAGUACCGUGAGGGAAAGGCGAAAAGAACCCCGGCGAGGGGAGUGAAAAAGAACCUGAAACCGUGUACGUACAAGCAGUGGGAGCCUCUUUUAUGGGGUGACUGCGUACCUUUUGUAUAAUGGGUCAGCGACUUAUAUUCUGUAGCAAGGUUAACCGAAUAGGGGAGCCGAAGGGAAACCGAGUCUUAACUGGGCGUUAAGUUGCAGGGUAUAGACCCGAAACCCGGUGAUCUAGCCAUGGGCAGGUUGAAGGUUGGGUAACACUAACUGGAGGACCGAACCGACUAAUGUUGAAAAAUUAGCGGAUGACUUGUGGCUGGGGGUGAAAGGCCAAUCAAACCGGGAGAUAGCUGGUUCUCCCCGAAAGCUAUUUAGGUAGCGCCUCGUGAAUUCAUCUCCGGGGGUAGAGCACUGUUUCGGCAAGGGGGUCAUCCCGACUUACCAACCCGAUGCAAACUGCGAAUACCGGAGAAUGUUAUCACGGGAGACACACGGCGGGUGCUAACGUCCGUCGUGAAGAGGGAAACAACCCAGACCGCCAGCUAAGGUCCCAAAGUCAUGGUUAAGUGGGAAACGAUGUGGGAAGGCCCAGACAGCCAGGAUGUUGGCUUAGAAGCAGCCAUCAUUUAAAGAAAGCGUAAUAGCUCACUGGUCGAGUCGGCCUGCGCGGAAGAUGUAACGGGGCUAAACCAUGCACCGAAGCUGCGGCAGCGACGCUUAUGCGUUGUUGGGUAGGGGAGCGUUCUGUAAGCCUGUGAAGGUGUACUGUGAGGUAUGCUGGAGGUAUCAGAAGUGCGAAUGCUGACAUAAGUAACGAUAAAGCGGGUGAAAAGCCCGCUCGCCGGAAGACCAAGGGUUCCUGUCCAACGUUAAUCGGGGCAGGGUGAGUCGACCCCUAAGGCGAGGCCGAAAGGCGUAGUCGAUGGGAAACAGGUUAAUAUUCCUGUACUUGGUGUUACUGCGAAGGGGGGACGGAGAAGGCUAUGUUGGCCGGGCGACGGUUGUCCCGGUUUAAGCGUGUAGGCUGGUUUUCCAGGCAAAUCCGGAAAAUCAAGGCUGAGGCGUGAUGACGAGGCACUACGGUGCUGAAGCAACAAAUGCCCUGCUUCCAGGAAAAGCCUCUAAGCAUCAGGUAACAUCAAAUCGUACCCCAAACCGACACAGGUGGUCAGGUAGAGAAUACCAAGGCGCUUGAGAGAACUCGGGUGAAGGAACUAGGCAAAAUGGUGCCGUAACUUCGGGAGAAGGCACGCUGAUAUGUAGGUGAAGCGACUUGCUCGUGGAGCUGAAAUCAGUCGAAGAUACCAGCUGGCUGCAACUGUUUAUUAAAAACACAGCACUGUGCAAACACGAAAGUGGACGUAUACGGUGUGACGCCUGCCCGGUGCCGGAAGGUUAAUUGAUGGGGUUAGCGGUAACGCGAAGCUCUUGAUCGAAGCCCCGGUAAACGGCGGCCGUAACUAUAACGGUCCUAAGGUAGCGAAAUUCCUUGUCGGGUAAGUUCCGACCUGCACGAAUGGCGUAAUGAUGGCCAGGCUGUCUCCACCCGAGACUCAGUGAAAUUGAACUCGCUGUGAAGAUGCAGUGUACCCGCGGCAAGACGGAAAGACCCCGUGAACCUUUACUAUAGCUUGACACUGAACAUUGAGCCUUGAUGUGUAGGAUAGGUGGGAGGCUUUGAAGUGUGGACGCCAGUCUGCAUGGAGCCGGCCUUGAAUACCACCCUUUAAUGUUUGAUGUUCUAACGUUGGCCCCUGACCGGGGUUGCGGACAGUGUCUGGUGGGUAGUUUGACUGGGGCGGUCUCCUCCUAAAGAGUAACGGAGGAGCACGAAGGUUGGCUAAUCCUGGUCGGACAUCAGGAGGUUAGUGCAAUGGCAUAAGCCAGCUUGACUGCGAGCGUGACGGCGCGAGCAGGUGCGAAAGCAGGUCAUAGUGAUCCGGUGGUUCUGAAUGGAAGGGCCAUCGCUCAACGGAUAAAAGGUACUCCGGGGAUAACAGGCUGAUACCGCCCAAGAGUUCAUAUCGACGGCGGUGUUUGGCACCUCGAUGUCGGCUCAUCACAUCCUGGGGCUGAAGUAGGUCCCAAGGGUAUGGCUGUUCGCCAUUUAAAGUGGUACGCGAGCUGGGUUUAGAACGUCGUGAGACAGUUCGGUCCCUAUCUGCCGUGGGCGCUGGAGAACUGAGGGGGGCUGCUCCUAGUACGAGAGGACCGGAGUGGACGCAUCACUGGUGUUCGGGUUGUCAUGCCAAUGGCACUGCCCGGUAGCUAAAUGCGGAAGAGAUAAGUGCUGAAAGCAUCUAAGCACGAAACUUGCCCCGAGAUGAGUUCUCCCUGACUCCUUGAGAGUCCUGAAGGAACGUUGAAGACGACGACGUUGAUAGGCCGGGUGUGUAAGCGCAGCGAUGCGUUGAGCUAACCGGUACUAAUGAACCGUGAGGCUUAACCUUACAACGCCGAAG